rnacentral:rRNA from 1 species
UACAGAGGUCUCAAGCGUUGUUCGGAUUCAUUGGGCGGAAAGGGUGCGUAGGUGGCGAGGUUAGUCAGGUGUGAAAUCUCGGGGCUCAACCCCGAAACUGCACUUGAUACUGCCUUGCUAGAGUACUGGAGAGGAGAUUGGAAUUUACGGUGUAGCAGUGAAAUGCGUAGAUAUCGUAAGGAAGACCAGUGGCGAAGGCGAAUCUCUGGACAGUUACUGACACUGAGGCACGAAGGCCAGGGGAGCAAACGGG